CAUAAGGAGUGACAUCAUUUACUUACCCUCAAGUUGUUCAAAACCUUUAUUAGUCUGUUUAUUCUGCUGAGAAUAAAAUAUUACGAAGAAUGCGAGUCACCAGACGGUUGACGGUAGCCAUCGAUUGGCUUCCAUAGUAUGGAAAAAAUACUAUGUAAGUCAAUAGCCACUUUUUACACAGCAAUACCAGUAAAUUGCCGUAAAAUUACUGGAUUGACUUUACCUGUAAAUACAGAGGUGUACUGUUCAUACAGGCAACAACGUUCCCCAUGUCACAGAUACAGCACCAUUCACACGUCUGAAAAUAAAAUACAGGUAAAUUCUGUGACAUCAUAAACCGGAAAUGACCUCUUAAAAGCUGUGCUUUCGGGGUUGUGUUUGUAAACAUGUUUUAAAUUUUGUGUCAAACGUUCACAUUCAUGCAGCUUUUGGCCCAGAGACAUUGUAUUAGACGACUCCAAACUUAAAUACACAGCGUGGAGUAAAUGUUGGAUUGACCUAGAGUUUUGUUGUUUUUUAUUUGUUAUUUCGUGAACUAGUAUACCUUUAAUAAUUUACUUUUUUUUUUUAGUUUUAAUGAUUUAAUGAAAAUGUAUUUAAGAGCUCACGUUGAAUUUUCGACAAUUGAUGAGAGUUGUGUAAAUGUAAAGCGUCUUGAAGAAGAAGAAGAAGAAGAGUGCACAGAUAAGACAGACCGAGAUAAGGCGGAAGAAAAGCUAAUCAGCUCUAAUGAGCCUUCAAGGAAACCAUGGCAACAAUCGCAGUCAUGAAUCAGAGGUGAGGUGGAUCAUUUUCCCCAUGAUCGAUGAUCACACUCUAUCAAUCCUCAGUGCAGUAAAGUCAAAAAUAUAAUAACCCCCAACUGUAAUUUAUGUUCUUAACAUUUGGACAGAGUGUGUGCUGUAUGUAAAGAAGGUUCUGGUUUGUUUUGCUAGCAUGGAGUGGUCCUGCUAUGCCCUGUUAGGCAUCAUCACCGCUCUAAUGAGCUUCUUCAUGGAUAUGACUGUAUCCAAGCUGCUGAAUGGUGAGCGGUUCCACCAUGUCACUCAAAAAAUGGUUACUACAAAACUUACAUAAAGAUGCAGGUUGGUGGGUUAAGUGUUUGAUCAAUGUAGCAUUCUAGCAGCUGAGUAGGGCAAAGUCUUUCAAAAAGAGACCUGAAAUUAGAUGCUUUUGCAUUUAUCAUGCAUUGUUAAACCUCAGCAUGCGUCCUUCUCUCUUUUUAGCUCACCAACGGCUGUAUGAAUGUCUGAAGGGUCACCACCUGCUGCAGUUCCUCUGCUGGACGCUUUAUCCAGCCUGUCUGUGUGCUCUGUCCACCAGCAUCUGCCCAUUCUCUGCAGAAACCACCCAGGCCCUGUUUAAAACCAGCUUUUCUUCUGAUCUGCCUUACCAGCCUUUUGAAAUAUGUAUUUUCGCUCUGCUUGGGUAAGUUCUCAUUUUGGUGAUGGAUAGUCAUAAGUUAGAUACUGCUUACUCAUCUGUUACCUCAGGGUUUGGAUUAUAUUAUAUUAGAUUAUGUGUUCAUGAAGCAGUAAUUGUUCUUAUCAUCAUUUUUUUUCUCUGAUUCAGGCUGUUCUGCAAUUUUCUCAGAUUUAUUUAUUUAUUCUGUCAUCACUGGGCUCUGCGUCUCAUCAAAACAAACAAACCCAUCAGCAGAUUUUUGGCAACAGAGUGAGAAAGAUUUAUUCCCAUAGACAUACUGUACAGUUUGACACAAUUAUUUUUCUUUCUUUCUUUCUUUGUAUAAACGAGACACCACUAGUGAAAUGCUCGUAAUUUCACACAUUUUUCUUUAGUUGAAUAGAAUAACAUUCAGAAUAACAAUGUGAAUUAAAAGGUUAGCUUCAAAUAUUUACAUGUCUUCCUCCAUAAAAUGUUUAAAAUGAGAUUUGUAAUCCUCUGGUCUCCGAUUUAUGGACGUCACUGUAUGGUGACCGCAGAUGUAUGUCUUUUGAUUGGAUGCCUGGAGAUGUCGUGAUCUAACCCAGAGCUGCCUCUUGUUCGUAUUCAUAAUCUUAUCCAGAAAGUCACUAUAUUCAGCCAUAGUGGCAUUUCUCCUCGCCUGCUUUACGUUUUCUCACUCGGCGGGAUAUUUCAUAGCUGCUGAGGUGAGGACAGGCCUAUAUCUAGAAUAUUGGCAGUGUGUCCAACUUAUGUGCUCACCGUUCAUCCAUUGUAUUUACUUUAAAUUUCUCUUUGUUUUCUAAUAGCUCACAAUGAAGCAGCGACGUACUUCACUGUUAGACAGCACUUCCUGGUACACCGUUUCCCAGAAUGCCUCUGUCCUGCUUGAACCUCAGAAAACAUGCAUUCUUGGAACCCACCUGGCACAAGUUACUUCCAAACACUAAGAUUUUUCAUUACUGCCAAGGUUGGGCUAUUGGUCGUGGCUUGUAUUUUGUCUUUACCUGCUGGAUAUUUAAUGCCAGUAUUUGUUUACGAUGCUGCGGUGGGGCGUUUGGUAGUCGAGGGUUCGGCCUAUUUGUUCUCAGACGGAAUCUCAUCAGCAAAAACUUUGCUAAACCCGGGUGGCUACGCUUUAGCAGGAGCAGUUGCCUUCUCUGGGGCUGACACACACACACUCUCUCCUGCUCUGUUGGCUCUGGAAAUGACCGGGCAGUGCUCUCACGCCGUCCCCGCUGUGGUUGCUACACUGGUAUCCAAUGCAGUGGCAGGUGCAAAGCACCAUCCAUCUUUCUACGAUGGCAUAUCGCUUAUUAAACAGCUGCCGCACUUGCUAUCUCUCAUCUGCACUUGUCCGAAGCUGGCCAAUGUUCAGAUCAAGCAGUUUGUGAUCCCAGCAGGAGUUGUGCUGGAGAGGACAGAGACACUGGCAAGUCUGCAGCACAUCCUAAACGCAGAUGGCCAGUUUCCUGUAGUGGACUCUCACGGCUCAUUGCAUCAUGAGUGUCACGGGUGAGCAGCGUCUGUUUAUAACGGAGAGUGGGCGGCUGUGUGGCGUCAUCACACGGAAAGAGACCCUUCCAAAGGCGAGAUCCUCUGCACCUGCGGCGGACGCUGCGUGUUCAGCGGAGAAUGAGAAUGACUGGGGGAAUGAGACUGAGGAGGAUGAGAAGGUGCUAGAGAGCUGGUGUCAUCAGCUUCCAUGUGCAUUCCGUACAUGUGCCGAGGAACACUCAAACUCCCUCCAUCCAACAGGAACUGAGAAAGAUAAGGGCCCUCGGGGUCUGUGAAGACAUCGUCAUCAUUGUGAGAGCAGGAAUUAAAAAGACCUCAUGC